GGGUCCGUAGCCGGUUUGAUCAGUCUUCCGGGAAAUCUGACAGCUCAACUGUUAGGCUUCUGGGGGAUACUGUCAGACUUGGAACCGGGAGAGGUAAGAGGUACUACAGGGGUAGGAGUGAAAUCUUGUAAUCCUUGUGGGACCACCAGUGGCGAAGGCGUCUUACCAGAACGGGUUCGACGGUGAGGGACGAAAGCUGGGGGCACGAACCGGAUUAGAUACCCGGGUAGUCCCAGCCGUAAACGAUGCUCGCUAGGUGUCUGGGAUGGUGCGACCGUUUCAGGUGCCGCAGGGAAGCCGUGAAGCGAGCCACCUGGGAAGUACGGCCGCAAGGCUGAAACUUAAAGGAAUUGGCGGGGGAGCACUACAACGGGUGGAGCCUGCGGUUUAAUUGGACUCAACGCCGGAAAACUCACCUGGGGCGACAGCAAUAUGUAGGUCAGGCUGAAGGUCUUACCUGAAUCGCUGAGAGG
rnacentral:rRNA from 1 species